GACGAACGCUGGCGGCGUGCUUAACACAUGCAAGUCGAACGGAAAGGCCCUGCUUUUGUGGGGUGCUCGAGUGGCGAACGGGUGAGUAACACGUGAGUAACCUGCCCUUGACUUUGGGAUAACUUCAGGAAACUGGGGCUAAUACCGGAUAGGAGCUCCUGCUGCAUGGUGGUGGUUGGAAAGUUUCGGCGGUUUGGGCUGGAUUCGCGGCUUAUCCGCUUGUUGGUGGGGUAGUGGCUUACCAGGGCUUUGACGGGUAGCCGGCCUGAGAGGGUGACCGGCCACAUUGGGACUGCGAUACGGCCCAGACUCCUACGGGAGGCAGCAGUGGGGAACAUGGCACAAUGGGCGGAAGCCUGAUGCAGCAACCCCGCGUGCGGGAUGACGGCCUUCGGGUUGUAAACCGCUUUCGCCUGUGACGAAGCGUGAGUGACGGUAAUGGGUAAAGAAGCACCGGCUAACUACGUG
rnacentral:rRNA from 1 species